rnacentral:rRNA from 1 species
GACGAACGCUGGCGGCGUGCUUAACACAUGCAAGUCGAACGAUGAAGCUGGAGCUUGCUCUGGCGGAUUAGUGGCGAACGGGUGAGUAACACGUGAGAAAUCUGCCCUUGACUCUGGGAUAACUGCGGGAAACUGUAGCUAAUACCGGAUACUUUCCCUGGUGGGCAUCCACUGGGGAAGAAAGAAUUUCGGUCAAGGAUGAUCUCGCGGCCUAUCAGCUUGUUGGUGAGGUAAUGGCUCACCAAGGCGACGACGGGUAGCCGGCCUGAGAGGGUGACCGGCCACACUGGGACUGGGACACGGCCCAGACUCCUACGGGAGGCAGCAGUGGGGAAUAUUGCACAAUGGGCGCAAGCCUGAUGCAGCAACGCCGCGUGAGGGAUGAGGGCCUUCGGGUUGUAAACCUCUUUUAGCAGGGAAGAAGCGAAAGUGACGGUACCUGCAGAAAAAGCACCGGCUAACUACGUGCCAGCCGCCGCAGUAA